rnacentral:lncRNA from 1 species
CCUGCCGCUCAGCGGGCCUUGCUUGUCCUGCCUGGUGGGAGCCUAAGUUCUCCACUCCCAGAGGGUUAGGUCCCCAGGGCCCCGCGACCCCUCUGCUGAAGCCACUGCCGUGUGGCGCUCUUCUGGGACCACCGUGUCACCGUGCACAGUCCUGCAGGUGGGUGUCUGUCACUUCCUGGUGCUGGGACCCGUGGUGCAGUGCAGCUCAGUCCCAUUCCUGGACACCUGUGCCGCUUUUCCAGCCGUCACCUGGACGGGACGCAGUGGUCCCAGGGGCAGCGGUGUCCACGUUCUCCUGGGAACAGAGCCCCUUUUCCACACUACUGGGGGGCUGAGCGCACUCGGCACACCUGCCGGCUCCUGUGCUCCUGGGAAAAGUCUGCUCCUGUCUCCUGCCUGUGUCCCCGGGCCCUUCUGGUUAUUAACAGACGGGGGCCUCCUCCGCGUCUCCCAGCCCCCAUUCCUCUGUCCUCCUCAGGUAGCCUGGCCUCCCUUGUGCAGUUUUCACCCAGCACACGCGUACAGGGCUGUGCAGGGGUCAGGUCACCCCCAGCCCAGCCCUGGGCAGCCCCUCCCACAAUGCUCCUCAGCCCCGUGGGGACCCCACCCCAGGGUCCCUUCAGCCCCUUCCCCACCCCACACGGGCUGUGAUCUCUGGUCCCACUGUCUGUUGAGAGACGUCAAGAACAGAACAUCGGGUGUCAGGGAGCAUCCUGGGGCUGCUAUGGUCACUCUCGCUCCCCUCCUGUAUUUGCAACCCUCGCCCUGUCCACUGGCUGGAGACCUGGGCUGCCAGGGGUGCGAGGCUUUGCCAGGAGCCGUUCCCGAGAUCUGUGAAGUGCUGAGUUCUGAGGUGCACGGGGGACCUUGAUGAGGGACGAAGCAGGCAUGUUCCAGAGCUCGCUCGGGGCACCUGGGCACAGAACACGGUGCCCCACGACUACUCACUCAGGCUAAGGGAAGGGUCACCCUGGGACCAUGGGGACAGAACACCACUGACCAUGCACAGGUGAUGACCUAGUGCUGUUUGCAGGUGAAGAAUGUCCUGUGCCUUGUGCUCCCUUCGCCUCUGGCCCCUGCCCAGGAGAUGUGAGGAGCCACUCCUUGGUGGUCCCAUGGGGGCGGGGGACACUGCGCGUUGCAGACUCCGCUGGGAGGGCACAGGGCCAGCCCACACAGCUAGGGCAGCGUCUGAGCGAGGACCUUGGGCACGACAUACCCUCUGCAGGGGCUGAGGCUGCAGAUUUCCAAGCUCUGGCCACACAUCACCUGAGCUGCAGCACAGAGCAGGGACCCACCCUGGGACAGCUGCAAGACCACUGCCAUCCCCAGGGACUCCGGGCAAAGGGUGGGGACUCAGUCGUUAGAACCUGGGCAGUGUCAGGCACAUCCCAUCCUUGGCACCCAGGUUUGUAAAACGGAGGACCCAUCUCUCAGGGUCAGGGACAAAGCACCUGCCCGUGAGACAGUGUUGCUGGGGCUGCCUUCGUCCACUCCCAAGUUCAGGGCUGAAGCAAGAAGCCAACUCCAUGACGCAGAUCCAUCGAGGGCUUCCCCCUGCUCUCCAUCCCCUGACUGCCAGCUGCUGGGGUACGGAAGUGGGCCACUAAGUCUGUCAGGGCUACAGAGAGGAAGGGCACCUGGUGUCCCUCUGUACUCCUGGACAGCAGCUCAGGAGCACCUGGGCCUUCCAGGAGUACAGAGACUAAAUGGCACCCGGGGGGGCGAUGGUAUCCAGCACUGGGUAGGACUGAAAUCACCACCCCCCUGCUCCUCCCCCACGGCUCACCAGAUGCAUAAAACGCAGAGAAAUCCGCAUCCUCUGUGUAGUCCCACACCUGCCAUGCAGGCUGCCCAGUCCACUCUUUACCUCUGGGUAGUGGGUUGUGGUCACUGCAGAUGCAGGAGCUGGGCUCAGAGAUGGUUGGGUCUUCUGAAAGAUACCUGCCCAGCAAGAGGGGACCUAGGCCUGAGCACAGGCUCCCGCAACCAGAUUCUGGCCUCUCCCCUGCCCACUGCUCCCUGCCUGUCUUCCGAUGUGGUGGUGAGUGUGGCUGCCCGUGGAAGCCCUGGCCUUCCCUUGUGACCCUCCCUGCCCUGGUCCUCAUCAGUAGGCCUGCAAUCUACAACUCUGCCCAGCAGAGGGAGCUGUCUCCCCGCUGUGACACAAAAACAGGAGCCAUAAAACACUUCAAGCAGUGGCCACGCUGACUCAGGAGGAGAGGCCACUCCAUACAGCCCAGGCUGAGGAGCCCUCACACGUGGCGCUGCCUUCAUCUCUGCACCCACAUGAUGCACACCACAUCAGGCGGAACCUCUGGUCACAGCCUUGUCCCCUCCCCAGAGCUUGGCUCCAGGUUGUGGCUUUUGUGACUGGGCACAAGAUAAGUCAUGCCUGGACGAAAGGACACGUGUGCUCAGAGGCAGGUGCUGGUGGGGCUGGUGGGAGACGCCUUCUGGGUGGCGUGGCCAGCUGGGGUCUGUCUGCUGGCUCCUGGUAGGCUGGAAGGGCAACAGGCACUGCCCAGCGAAGGCCCCCGUGCAUGAGAUUAAAGAGGAGCUGAU